rnacentral:rRNA from 1 species
UAAUGUAUGGGGAUCUGCCCGAUAGAGGGGGAUGACUACUGGAAACGGUGGCUAAUACCGCAUAAUGUCUACGGACCAAAGCAGGGGCUCUUCGGACCUUGCACUAUCGGAUGAACCCAUAUGGGAUUAGCUAGUAGGUGGGGUAAAGGCUCACCUAGGCGACGAUCUCUAGCUGGUCUGAGAGGAUGAUCAGCCACACUGGGACUGAGACACGGCCCGG